AAUGAACAAUUAGUAAAGUAUUGCCCGCACCUUUUUCUUCUUAAGCGAAAAUUUCCCGCUCAAUCUAUUUGCCCUUUCCCUCGUCUGCGCAUAUGCCCUUAGCUCUACAGAUUUGUGAAGCUGGUCCUAUUUCCAUCUCAAUGAGAAUCCCUCUUCUGCACUAUUUUGUGAAGGUCUGCGGCACAAGAAGCCUCUGCCCCUUGCCACUGUACUCUGAAAUUGAAGAGGCUUGCUGUUUGUGAAGGUCGUGAAGACGAGAAGCCUUCAAGUUAUAAAUCCCUGCUGCGCGAGAAGCCUUGCCCCCUUGCUGCUGUGAAGCCUUAUGGUGAAUAUACCGCUGUGAAGCUCUCUCAUCUUCAAAGGCUAUGAAGACCUUUCAACCGUGAAAGACGUUAUACCUCUCAUUUUUUAAGAUUGCAGUUCAACAAAGGAAGUUUUUAAUACCAUCUUGUGGUGAAAAAUGGGUUUUGAGAUCACUUGGGAAGAAAUGGAAAGAUUACAAGUGCGAACUAAAAGCUGAAUAUUUUGAAAAAUAUGGAACUGUUGAUGAACUUCUUGCCAAUAGGCCUAAACAUAUUUUAAGGGAUCAGUGGACUUCUCUUGUCUUAUAUUGGCAUUCAAAUAAAGCAAAGUGCCACAAACGAAUGUAAUCGAUCAAAGCAACAAAUGCCCCACACGGUUCCAAAAGCUUUGCAUGAAUCAUAGAUGAAAAGAAAGGGGUAGAGCCAUCACAAGCAAUGAUAUUCAUAGAUACUCAUGAGGAGUGUAAGGAUGGAAGGCCAAUUGAUGAGGAAUCAGCAAUAAAGUUGAUGAAAUGGAGCAAAAUUUACAUAAGAAAAUUCUGAGGAUCAAAGCCAAAAGGGAGGCAUGGGUAGGUGAUUUAUAUUCCCGAGUGAUGAGACCAAAAAGGUUUGGACGAGUGUGAGGCUUGGGACUUGGUCAUACUCCAACGAGUCUAUGGGGAUCUUCAUCUUCUCAUCAAUAUGAAGGAGCUUCAGUAGAUGCUCCAACGAGUCUAUGGGGAUCUUCAUCUUCUCAUCAAUAUGAAGGAGCUUCAGUAGAUGCUAACUCCACAGAAGACAAGGUUUACAAGUCGUAGGAGGAAAUGAAAAUAAUGGAAGAACGUCAUACUAAAGAAUAGAAUUCUAUGAAAUACCAUCACGUUGAAGAAUUAAAUUCUAUGAAAGAGCAUCAAGCAUGAGUAGAGCCUGAACUUACAAUGACGAAAGCAUUAAUUAUGAGCAAGAUUUUUUCACAAGAUAGACCUCUAUCACAAUGUGUCAUAGAAAUUCAUGAUGCCUCCACAAACUAAUUGAGGUAGAUAUUGUUUGCCUUAGAAUUUGUGUACCUACUGUGGACCUUGAGUGUGUACCAUAUUAAUUAGAAGUGCAAUACUUAUGUUGGGAUUAACUAGGUAAUAUUUGGGGUUAUAAUUGAUGCUAAGGAUAGACUAGGCUAAGGUUAAGACUGCAAAUGGCUGAAGUUUGAAAAACUAAUGCUUAACAAGAUGUAUAUGGUGAACCAGUCUGGUUAAGGACUAGGUUGUUUGAUGAAGUUUUCAAUUUUUCUCUACG